rnacentral:rRNA from 1 species
UACAGAGGGGGCAAGCGUUGUUCGGAAUUACUGGGCGUAAAGGGUGCGUAGGCGGCCUGUUAAGUCGAACGUGAAAUCCCCGGGCUCAACCCGGGAACUGCGUCCGAUACUGGCAGGCUUGAAUCCGGGAGAGGGAUGCGGAAUUCCAGGUGUAGCGGUGAAAUGCGUAGAUAUCUGGAGGAACACCGGUGGCGAAGGCGGCAUCCUGGACCGGCAUUGACGCUGAGGCGCGAAAGCCAGGGGAGCAAACGGG